rnacentral:rRNA from 1 species
UCGUCACACUAUCAUUAACUGAAUCCAUAGGUUAAUGAGGCGAACCGGGGGAACUGAAACAUCUAAGUACCCCGAGGAAAAGAAAUCAACCGAGAUUCCCCCAGUAGCGGCGAGCGAACGGGGAGGAGCCCAGAGCCUGAAUCAGCAUGUGUGUUAGUGGAAGCGUCUGGAAAGGCGCGCGAUACAGGGUGACAGCCCCGUACACAAAAGCGCAUGUGCUGUGAGCUCGAUGAGUAGGGCGGGACACGUGGUAUCCUGUCUGAAUAUGGGGGGACCAUCCUCCAAGGCUAAAUACUCCUGACUGACCGAUAGUGAACCAGUACCGUGAGGGAAAGGCGAAAAGAACCCCGGCGAGGGGAGUGAAAAAGAACCUGAAACCGUGUACGUACAAGCAGUGGGAGCACAGGUUUACCUGUGUGACUGCGUACCUUUUGUAUAAUGGGUCAGCGACUUAUAUUCUGUAGCAAGGUUAACCGAAUAGGGGAGCCGGAGGGAAACCGAGUCUUAAUUGGGCGUUAAGUUGCAGGGUAUAGACCCGAAACCCGGUGAUCUAGCCAUGGGCAGGUUGAAGGUUGGGUAACACUAACUGGAGGACCGAACCGACUAAUGUUGAAAAAUUAGCGGAUGACCUGUGGCUGGGGGUGAAAGGCCAAUCAAACCGGGAGAUAGCUGGUUCUCCCCGAAAGCUAUUUAGGUAGCGCCUCGUGAAUUCAUCUCCGGGGGUAGAGCACUGUUUCGGCUAGGGGGCCAUCCCGGCUUACCAACCCGAUGCAAACUGCGAAUACCGGAGAAUGUUAUCACGGGAGACACACGGCGGGUGCUAACGUCCGUCGUGAAGAGGGAAACAACCCAGACCGCCAGCUAAGGUCCCAAAGUCAUGGUUAAGUGGGAAACGAUGUGGGAAGGCCCAGACAGCCAGGAUGUUGGCUUAGAAGCAGCCAUCAUUUAAAGAAAGCGUAAUAGCUCACUGGUCGAGUCGGCCUGCGCGGAAGAUGUAACGGGGCUAAACCAUGCACCGAAGCUGCGGCAGCGACGCUUAUGCGUUGUUGGGUAGGGGAGCGUUCUGUAAGCCUGUGAAGGUGUGUCGUGAGGCAUGCUGGAGGUAUCAGAAGUGCGAAUGCUGACAUAAGUAACGAUAAAGCGGGUGAAAAGCCCGCUCGCCGGAAGACCAAGGGUUCCUGUCCAACGUUAAUCGGGGCAGGGUGAGUCGACCCCUAAGGCGAGGCCGAAAGGCGUAGUCGAUGGGAAACGGGUUAAUAUUCCCGUACUUGGUGUUACUGCGAAGGGGGGACGGAGAAGGCUAUGUUGGCCGGGCGACGGUUGUCCCGGUUUAAGCGUGUAGGUGUGUGUUCCAGGUAAAUCCGGUUCACUUUAACACUGAGGCGUGAUGACGAGGCACUACGGUGCUGAAGUAACAAAUGCCCUGCUUCCAGGAAAAGCCUCUAAGCAUCAGGUAACAUCAAAUCGUACCCCAAACCGACACAGGUGGUCAGGUAGAGAAUACCAAGGCGCUUGAGAGAACUCGGGUGAAGGAACUAGGCAAAAUGGUGCCGUAACUUCGGGAGAAGGCACGCUGACACGUAGGUGAAGUGAUUUACUCAUGGAGCUGAAGUCAGUCGAAGAUACCAGCUGGCUGCAACUGUUUAUUAAAAACACAGCACUGUGCAAACACGAAAGUGGACGUAUACGGUGUGACGCCUGCCCGGUGCCGGAAGGUUAAUUGAUGGGGUCAGCGCAAGCGAAGCUCCUGAUCGAAGCCCCGGUAAACGGCGGCCGUAACUAUAACGGUCCUAAGGUAGCGAAAUUCCUUGUCGGGUAAGUUCCGACCUGCACGAAUGGCGUAAUGAUGGCCAGGCUGUCUCCACCCGAGACUCAGUGAAAUUGAACUCGCUGUGAAGAUGCAGUGUACCCGCGGCAAGACGGAAAGACCCCGUGAACCUUUACUAUAGCUUGACACUGAACAUUGAGCCUUGAUGUGUAGGAUAGGUG